GGAGCUCGAGUGCUUGUGGCUGGCCCUUGAAUCCAUGCUGGUCCCUUUUCCUCGGGCUGAGCUGCAAGGAGCGCAGCAGCUGCGGCAUUUAGGUAUCUCUCAGCAGGACCUCUAUCCCACAUUCAUCAACCUGUGAACCACCUGAAACCAGGACCCAGCCCUGUGCUUAGGGGUUCAUCAGCCCCUACUUCACUCCAUCCUUUUGUCAUCCAUCAAAAUCUACCCCUGUACAGCAGGCCCCCCUGGAAAGCUGCUCUCAUCACAGUACCUGAUUAGAAGACAUUUGAAGUGAAAUGCAAGUGUGGGACUGGUUCUGAGUGCAGCUGGAAGUGCUGUGAUGUUCCAUGCUUAGGAAUAACGUGUGGCCAGUGACUGGUCCCACAAACCCUUCUGCAGAUAAGUAAUCCUAUCAAAGGCAGUUGAGUGCAUUUGAUUAAGGAUUACAUGCGAUUAGUGGGCUGCAAGGUUGAGAGUACAACUCGUAUCAUUAAUGAGUAUUCACAUAUAAAUGCUGCUUUGAGCAGAGAUUGAACUAGAUGACUUCAGAGGCCUGUUCCUACUAGAAUGAUUUUUUGAUUAUCACACUUGUAUUAUGCAAAUAGAUAACUUCCUUUAUAAAAAAAUUCAUUAGUUGCAUAAGCUGAACUCUAGUAAGUCACUGCCAUUAUUUUACCUAAUUGCAUCGUGUAGUAGCGUGGAGUUGCAAAUUUGACCCAAGUUUAAGAUUAAAAACAAUAAGAGGAAUACACCCCUGCCUUUUUUGUGUAUUGCCUCAAAUUCUUUGUAUACAGUUUUAUGUCAGAUUGAAUUCCUUGUGCAGAAAUUCUUUCCUAGCAUACGGUUGACUUUUUCUAGAAUUAGUCCAGAGUAGAGUGCCUGAAAAUUGAUGCUUUAUGCACAAUUGAGGUGCGUGAAUGGAUUUAAACUUACUCUGCCUAAUUCUUGUACCACUAGUACUGAGAUUAUGGUAACAAAGGCAUCAGUGCAGGUUAGCAGCCUAAGAAGGGCUUGAGGCCCUAAAAACUUUCCAAAGCAAGGGCUCAGAAUGUGAGAGGGCAUUCUUAUAUUGAAAAAAAAAUCCCAAACCCACUGCCACCCCAACAAAUCCCCCCACUGUUAGAAUAUACUAUGUAGAAUCUGAAUAUAUGUAGAUGUUGAGACACAGCUGGUUGAGUUUAAUAAACAAUAAUCCUUCUUAUGUGCAGGGAAUCAUAUGGAUUCCUGUGCCUGUAUAAACUUUCUACCCAUUGAUACUUCUGUAACUGUUCUCAUUUAGUAUUGUUAAUUGCUUCCUUUUAAGCAAGAAGUUGGUGGUAAGAAAGGAAAUCUCUUAACUGCUGUCUGUAAAAGGCCAAUCACUUUCACUUGCAUGCAAUUAGAAAUGUUUUUAUGUAACAUUUUAAGCCUCCCAAUAGUUACAUUAAUCUCAGAAACAGGCUAUAGUUGUUGUCCUGUCUUAUUGGUGACAGUAUAUUUCAGGAAAACACUUGGUUGUAUGCUUUUAUUUAAAAAUACAAGGAGUAUGGUAGCAUUGCAAGUAAUGUGUUAAGGACCUGGCAGGUCUCUUGGGCUUUUAGGGAGUUUAGAAAGCAAUUAAAAGGAAUAAGAGGUGCUAGGAAGGAGUGGAGUUAUUUCUUUAUGCUGCUCUUCACCACAGUGAUGUUGUGAGCAUUUUAUUCUUUUCAAAUAAUGUUGAUUGGAUGUUAUCUGAUUAUGGGAUUAGAGUGGCAAAAGACUGAAUGCUAGAAUGAAGUGCUAAAGACUCCUAAGUCACCAGGACUCGGUGCUAUUCAUUCCUUUAGUGGUUGUAAAGGAUGAAGUGGCUGAUCUGCUAAGAAGAAUGCAUCUCGUUAGGAUGAGAUGCUGUGCCAGGAGACCGGAAGCUGUCAAGGGCUGUACAUACUGUACUUCUAAACGGAACACAAAGAGCAGAGCUGGAAUUUGCAGACCAAGGACUCUUAUUUUAAUGCCACUUAAGUAGCUUUGAAUUCUGCAUGGAUAGUCUAGUAGUUCAGUGAGCACAAGAUACAACAGCUUUCUAUGCAGUUGUAUCUUAGAGGUAAUGAAAAAUACCAGCUGCAGCUGGGGUACCUGUCAUGUGUCUCUUGCUUGUGUGUUUGUUCCCUAAUAACAAGGGCAUAGGCUGCAGUCUGUACUUCACUUUCAUCUGUUUGUGGCUUGGUCUUCUAUAUCUAUUUGCCCACUACUUGGAUUUUUGAAGUCUCUGAAUUCUUAUUGAACUAUAAAUGUCUUUUCAAUUUUCCUUUUUGAUAAAGUUUGAAAUCAGGUAGUGGAUUUGAAAGUUAUAAAAGGCCAGGCCUAACCUAAGCAGGCAUGUUUAACUGCAUUAAUCUCGUCUGUGUUUAGCAGUCUAAACAAUUACUAAGUUGCUCCUGUUAUUAGCAGACAAGAGAGGGAUGAAGCUAUACACUGAUACACUCACGCACCCUGUUUAGUUCAUCCCACCUUAAACUUGCAGUGUAUAUGGCCUUUGGCAGGAAAUUAUAUUCCAUGCAAUUUUUGUGAGGCUCUACAGGUCUUCAUUUUUGAUGUCAUUGUGGGGAUGAUGACCAGUGAUGCAGAGGUGGAGCUGAAAGUUAAAGCAGUUCAGUAGUAUGGUAUGCUGCUUUCAGUGGCAAAGCUGUGAUGUACCUUGUAGUUUACACUCAGGUGACAACAGCAGUUUCCUAAGUACUGACAACUGUAGCUGCAAUUGGCUGUGUGGUCUUGUUCCCUCACUUUCCCUCCUGUUGCAUUAGCACAGUGAUUUGUGCCAUCAUGCAGUGACUUGAAUCAGAAAAUUGAUCCUGACUUCGAGAGGGGUCUGUGGCAAGCAGCAAUUUCUAACCCAAGCUAGUUCCUCACUCUGGUCUAGUGGGAGGCUCCACCAGGAGAUGGGAUCAUGGCAUAAGGAUGAGAACAAGCAGCAGGAGGGUCCUCUCUCUUUGAACUGGCAUUUUACCAAAUAUAUGCUCAUCAGAUUAUGUCUCUAGAAUCUGUGACUCAUCUUGCCCUCAAUUCAAUUACUUCAGAUGAUCUGUAAAUUUUCAAUAAUGGCAAUACAUUCAUUCUGCCAUUUGGAGGAGCCUGUGCCACAGAAUAAUGAUCUGAAGAAAGCUCACUCAUUUGCAAGGAAGAGUCUUCAUUUGGGAAUUAGCACUGAUGCAGCGAAGGGUGCUUCUUCAAGUCCAGGUCCUUGACAUUCAGUGGGAUGAGAAUCUCAGAACUGACUACUGGGAACUCCCAAGCUGCAGAUCAGCACAGCUGGAAUUGGCAGACGCUGUUUCAAACAACCAAGUAAAGUGCAGUUAGUGUGGAAGUACUGUUGUGCAGCUGAACUAAAGGAAUUUUGCUGGAUAACUACUUGCCUGUUAUUGUCAUUGGCAAGUUGCAGAAACCAUCUUGGUAGGUGUGGAUUGCUUGUCAGAAAUCCGUUCCGAAGCUUGAGUGCAAAGGAAGCAGGGUACUAAUGAUGAAUAAGAAUGGAUAUCUUGAGGAUAACAAUGGAUACAGCAUCUUCAAAAGCAGUGGCAUUCUGUAUCCUUUUGGAGGAAGAGUGACCUGUACCUCACAUGGGAUUUUUUUUUUCUGGUCCUGGUCCUGCAACUGGAUUUGUUCAAAUGGACCUCGAUAGCCUGGGGACCUGAUGAAGUUCAUGGGACUCUGGUGACUGCAGGUUCUCACUCUGAAGAUCUGAUUGUAGGCCUGAACCUAAAUUUCUAUUUCAUUCUCCUGUCUGUUUGCUUCUUAAAUGAUGAAAAUUAUCCUUUAAAAUGGUGUUGUCGUUGAGUCUCAUGCACAUCCACUUUAGUAAUGUUCAGACACUGUGUGCCUGGGAUGUUGUCAGACGUUGUUAAAUUGUUUCUUUUCUGUUGUGUGCCUAAACCUCAUGAUUGCUCUGAUUAUUGUGUUAGAUUUUCCAUUUAGUGCCUUUCUACCUAAAAUGGAGGCGAUAAUUGCCUUCUUUUAGCUCAGAUUUUUAAGUCAGAGUAACUGGUGAAACUGUUCAGGUUAUUUUUAAAGAUGUAGGUAGAUUUGUUUAUUUCUUGCUGGACACAAAGUAUAAUAUUUUAAUUUGCAAACUUGGUAGCCUAUUAUUACUGAAAGCUUUCAAUAUGAUGAUACUCUGAUGUAAUAAAAUGAGUAGGAAA